rnacentral:rRNA from 1 species
GAACAUCGACAUUUUGAACGCAUAUUGCGGUCCAUACUGACUAGUUUCUUAAUUGAAGCUGUAUGGACCACACAUGGUUGAGGGUCGUUAGUUUACGCUAACUGAAUUGCUUUUUUAAUUAAGAGCUACAUCCUGAGGUGUUGUCAAACCUUAAGUGUGUUGACAUCCCUUGAAAAUACCUUUGGUACACAAUUUUUAUUUAAUUGUGAAUGCUUGUUUUAUCAAAGAAAACAAAUAUUGGUUCAAGAUUUGUGAAUGAACAAUUUCGAGGCUAGUAAACUUUGACUAAGCGUUUAAACAUAAUAGUUUACGUAUUUGAAUGUGCUAACCUGAACACUUUGAAAUUAUUCUUUAAUUUAUUCACUGCCGUCUGAAUACAAACAAUAUUUAUUCGUUAAUUUUCUUAUGAAAUAAAAAAAACACUCCCAUUUGUACGAACGCGGGUGGCAUUCUCAACAUAUUACAAUAUAAAUUGCAAAAAACAAACCAAAAGCGACCUCAACUCAUGUGAGACU